UACUUAUUAUCUGUACGCAACGUCUAAUCAUUGCUAACGAAACAUGAUUCUGAGUUCAGUAAUACUUGUGUGUUUUGAAAGUCCGUAAUAAUUACGAUUUGAAGAUAAUACAUUUCGAAAAUGUUCUCGUUAUUUCUAAAUUGUUUCCCAUUAAUUAUAAAAACCUUUGGGGAAAAUCAAAAAAUGUUUGACAAUCUUCACAGAAAUGUUCUUAAAUGUCCAGUUUCCUUU